rnacentral:rRNA from 1 species
UGCCAGCCGCCGCGGUAAUACGGAGGGUGCAAGCGUUAUCCGGAUUUACUGGGUUUAAAGGGUGCGCAGGCGGAAGUUUAAGUCAGAAGUGAAAUCCCCGAGCUCAACUUGGGAACUGCUUUUGAUACUGAUCUUCUUGAAUAUAGUUGAGGUAGGCGGAAUACAACAUGUAGCGGUGAAAUGCAUAGAUAUGUUGUAGAACACCAAUUGCGAAGGCAGCUUACUAAACUAUUAUUGACGCUGAGGCACGAAAGCGUGGGGAGCGAACAGGAUUAGAUA